GCCUGCGUGGUCUAGUGGUAUGAGUUUUGGAUUAUGAAUCUGGAGACCAGGGUUCAAAUCCACGCUCAGCCA